rnacentral:rRNA from 1 species
GACGAACGCUGGCGGCGUGCUUAACACAUGCAAGUCGAACGGAAAGGCCCUGAUUUUGUGGGGUGCUCGAGUGGCGAACGGGUGAGUAAAACGUGAGUAAACUGCCCUUGACUUUGGGAUAACUUCAGGAAACUGGGGCUCAUACCGGAUAGGAGCUCCUGCUGCAUGGGGGGGGUAGGAAAGAUUCGGCGGUUGGGGCUGGACUCGAGGCUUAUCCGCUGGAUGGUGGGGUAGUGACUGACCAAGGCUUUGACGGGUAGCCGGCCUGGGAGGGGGACCGGCCACAUGGGGACUGAGAUACGGCGCAGACGCCUACGGGAGGCAGCAGUGGGGAAUAUUGCACAGUGGGCGGAAGCCUGAUGCAGCAACGCCGCGUUCGGGAUGACGGCCUUCGGGGUGUAAACCGCUUUCGCCUGUGACGAAGCGUGAGUGACGGUAAUGGGUAAAGAAGCACCGGCUAACUACGUG